rnacentral:rRNA from 1 species
UUAUGGCUCAGGAUGAACGCUGGCGGCGUGCCUAACACAUGCAAGUCGAGCGUGAACCCUAGAAUGAACUUCGGUCGAAUGAAGAGGGGAAAGCGGCGACGGGUGAGUAACGCGUAGGCAACCUGCCCCGUACAGAGGGAUAGCCUCGGAAACCGGGAUUAAAACCUCAUAAUACCAUGGUACCACAUGAUGCAAUGGUCAAAGAUUUAUCGGUAUGGGAUGGGCCUGCGUCUGAUUAGCUGGUUGGUGGGGUAACGGCCUACCAAGGCAACGAUCAGUAGCCGACCUGAGAGGGUAAUCGGCCACAUUGGAACUGAGACACGGUCCAAACUCCUACGGGAGGCAGCAGUGGGGAAUAUUGCACAAUGGGCGAAAGCCUGAUGCAGCAACGCCGCGUGAGCGAAGAAGGCCUUUGGGUCGUAAAGCUCUGUCGGGAAGGAAGAUAAUGACGGUACUUCCCGAGGAAGCCCCGGCUAACUACGUGCCAGCCGCCGC